GUCGCAGUGGCUCAGGUGGGUAGAGUAAUGACUAUGGGGAAAUAGGUCCGGGGUUCGAGCCCCCGCUGAUGGCA
ensembl:tRNA